rnacentral:misc_RNA from 1 species
UUUUUUUUUUUUUUUUCAUAUUAGAAUUCAAGAUUUAUUUGAAAAAUAUAUAUAUAUAAAGAAUCAAAAUUUAAUAUAGAAUUUAGACCUAGUCAUUUAUCUUUAAAUUGCGUUGAUCGUUUUUAUACUGGUGUCCAAUUUGAAACAUGCCUUACUUUCAAGUUUUCAGUCUGAGUGCACACUUUUUGAUAAGAGAAAUAGUCUUUUGAGUUUGUCUCACACUUCAAUUGCCAAUAUAUCCAAUCACUCAGAAAAUUACCAAACUGCUACCAUUACAACAACAAGCCUACAACAGUAGACAAACUCUCGUCAGACUACCACAUUAGAUCCUGUCAUCUCUACAAGAGUAGCCAGCACCUACCACAUUAAUAAAUUGGAGAAAAACUCUCCCCAACUAAUUUUAACCCCUGGUUUCAUUUUUGCCUAUAUUUUUAUAAAUUUUAAGUGAAUUUUCUAUUAUGAAGAUAAUAAUAAUAAUAAUAUCUCAACACGAUUUUAUAUUAUGAAUUGUCCACGGGAUAUUUCUUUUAAUAUUGCAAGUUUAAGCAAUCUUACUAAAGCUUCUCAAAUAAAUUAUUUCUUUGAAAGCCUCUUCCCCUACUGCUCUAUCUAUCACUCCAUAUAAAUCCCUUUAGCUUUUUUACUCUUACUGUUAUAAUCAUAUGAUAUUUUCUAUCUUAAAUAUCAAACAACUAAUACUUCCAUUCCACUUUUUCAUAUUGCUAAUGGUACUCUAAUGAUAGUCACUCAUAUUUUCCAUACUUCUACUUUAAAUUUAGGUCUUUCUAAUACCCUUUGUGUUCCUAAUUUAACCUUUAAUAUUAUAUUUAUUGACUCCAAACUAUCUGCAACUCACAAACUGUUCUGAAUUUAACUUGAAAUUCUAUAAGCUUGCAAGCUAUUUUAACUUGAAAAAACAUAUCUUAUUGUGAUAUUAAUAAUACUACAAGUCUACAAUCUAAUUCUUAAAUAUAUAUAUAUGCAAAAGAAAAUUUAAUUUAUUUUUU